rnacentral:rRNA from 1 species
UACGAAGGGGGCUAGCGUUGCUCGGAAUGACUGGGCGUAAAGGGCGCGUAGGCGGUUCAUACAGUCAGAUGUGAAAUUCCCGGGCUUAACCUGGGGGCUGCAUUUGAUACGUGUGGGCUUGAGUGAGGAAGAGGGUUGUGGAAUUCCCAGUGUAGAGGUGAAAUUCGUAGAUAUUGGGAAGAACACCGGUGGCGAAGGCGGCGACCUGGUCCGAUACUGACGCUGAGGCGCGAAAGCGUGGGGAGCAAACAGG